AUUGAACGCUGGCGGCAGGCCUAACACAUGCAAGUCGAACGAGUGGCGGACGGGUGAGUAAUGUCUGGGAAAAUGCCCGAAGGAGGGGGAUAACUACUGGAAACGGUAGCUAAUACCGCCUACCAUCGGAUGUGCACAGAUGGGAUUAGCUUGUAGGUGAGGUAACGGCUAACCUAGGCGACGAUCCCUAGCUGGGCUGAGAGGAUGACCAGCCACACGGGAACUGAGCCAGGGUCCAGACUCCUGCGGGGGGCAGCAGUGGGGAAUAUUGCACAAUGGGCGAAAGCCGGAUGCAGCCAUGCCGCGGGUAUGAAGAAGGCCUUCGGGUUGUAAAGUACUUUCAGCGGGGAGGCGUUACCAGCAGAAGAAGCACCGGCUAACUCCGUGCCAGCAGCCGCGGUAAUAC
rnacentral:rRNA from 1 species